rnacentral:lncRNA from 1 species
AUGGGGGAAGGGGAGAUUUAUAGUGCCAGGGUAGCUGGCAAAAGACUGCUCAAGUCAGGAUGCCUCCAGCAGGUGAAUGCAGCCAGGGAAGUGCGCAUGGGAUGUGGCUAUGGAGGAUCCUCUUUUACCCCUCCUGGGAAACCUGCAUGCUCGAUCACCUCUCUGAAAUGCCUGUACACCAAUGCACGCAGCAUGGGGAACAAACAGGAAGAACUAGAGAUCUGUGUGUGGUCGCAGGGCCAUGAUCUCAUUGCCAUUACAGAGACAUGGUGGGAUAGCUCGCAUGACUGGAGUGCUGUCAUGGAUGGCUACGUGCUUUUUAGGAAAGACAGGCCAGGAAAGCGAGGUGGUGGAGUUGCUCUUUAUGUGASAGAGCAACUGGAAUGUAUUGAGCUGUGCCUAGGGGUGGAUGAAGAGCGAGUCGAGAGCUUAUGGGUAAGGAUUAAAGGGCAAGCUAGCAUGGGUGACACUGUUGUGGGUGUUUACUACAGGCCACCUGAUCAGGAAGAGGAAGUCGAUGAGGCCUUCUACAGACAGCUGGAAGUAGCCUCMCGAUCCCAGGCCCUGGUUCUCAUGGGGGACUUCAACCACCCCGAUAUCUUCUGGAAAGACAACACAGCUAGGCACAAACAGUCCUGGAGGUUCCUGCAGAGCAUUGGUGACAACUUCUUGACACAGGUGGUGGAGGAGCCAACAAGGAGAGGUGUGCUGCUGGACCUCGUACUAACAAACAAAGAAGGACUGGUGGAAGAUGUGAAGGUCGGGGGCAGCCUUGGCUGCAGUGACCAUGAGAUGGUGGAGUUCAGSAUCCUGCRAGGAGGCAGCAGGGCACUAAGUAGGAUCGCAACCCUGGAGUUYAGGAGAGCAAACUUUGRCCUCUUCAGGGACCUACUUGGAGGAAUCCCAUGGGUUAGGGCCCUAGAAGGAAGGGGCGUUCAAGAGAGCUGGUUAAUAUUCAAACAUCACUUCCUCCAGGCUCAAGAGCGGUGCAUCCCUAUGAGUAGGAAGUCAAGCAAAGGAGGUAGGAGACCUGCAUGGAUGAGCAAGGAGCUCCUGGCAAAACUCAACCAGAAGAAGGAAGUAUACAGAAAGUGGAAAGGGGGACAGGCCACUUGGGAGGAAUAUAGGAACGUUGUCAGAGUAUGCAGGGAUGCGACAAGGAAGGCUAAGGCCCGUUUGGAAUUAAAUCUGGCUGGAGAUGUCAAGGACAACAAGAAGGGCUUCUUCAAAUACAUCAGUAGCAAAAGGAAGACUAGGGAAAAUGUGGGCCCUUUGCUGAGUGGGGUGGGUGCCCUGGUGACGAAGGAUACAGAGAAGGCAGAGUUACUGAAUGCCGCCUUUGCUUCAGUCUUUACUGCUCAGGCCAGCCCUCAGGAACCCCAGACCCUGGAGGCAAGAGAGAAAGUCUGGAGGAAGGAAGACUUUCCCUUGGUGGAGGAGGAGUGGGUUAGAGAUCAUUUAAGCAAACUUGACACCCACAAAUCCAUGGGCCCUGAUGGGAUGCGCCCACGAGUGCUGAGGGAGCUGGCGGACGUUAUUGCUAAGCCACUCUCCAUCAUCUUUGAAAGGUCAUGGAGAACAGGAGAGGUGCCUGAAGACUAG